GAGGUCCUGGAUGGCAGAGAGCUCGGCCCCAGUGAUGCCUUGUGGUCGGAUGGUGAACAGUUGCCAUACCAAGCGGGAUGCUCUCGAUGGUGCAGUUGUAGAACUUUUUGAUGAUCUGAGGACUCAUGCCAAAUCUUUUCAGCCUCCUAAAGGGGGAAUAGGCAUUGUCGACUCUGUUUUGACCAUUAUAGGUUCUUACUGAUGUGGACACAAAUGAACUUGAAGCUCUUGACCUUCUCCACUACAACCCUGUCAAUGUGAAUGGGGGCAUGCUCGGUUUUCCUUUUCCUGUAAUACACAAUCAGCUCCUUUGUCUUGCUCAUGUUGAGGGAGAGAUUGUUGUCCUGGCACCAAACUGUCAGGUCUCUGACCUCCCUAUAGGUUGUCUCUUCAUCGUCAGUGAUCAGGCCUACCACUGUCGUGUCGGAGUCAUGUGUGACCACGCAGUCGUGGGUGAACAGGGAGUACGGCAGGGGUCUAAGUACGCACCCCUGAGGGGCGCUCAUGUUGAGGGUCACCUUGUGGUGGAUGUGUUGUUGCCUACCCUCACCACCUGGGUGCGGCCUGUCAGGAAGUCCAGGAUCCAGUUGCAGAGGGAGUUGGGUCCUUAGGUUAGCGAUGAGCUUGGAGGGCACUAUGGUGUUGUACUCUGAGCUGUAGUCAAUGAACAGCUCUGGUCAUGUAGGUGUUCCUUUUGUCCAAGAAACCCACAGCAAGAAUGACUCAGUUUCUUUGUUUUCCUAAGAGUGUUGUCCAUAUGAUCAUACCUUCUAUUCCCAUGUUCUGACAGAAGACCGCUUUGUCCUAUGUCUUUUCUUCUUUCAGUUUUCACACUCAACAACUGUAGUUUAGACAUAACUUGAAUGAGAGUUGUGUAGCCUAUUCAGUUCAGUCAGUACGUCUUUCUUUAAUCCACACAAAGAAUGUUUGAAAUCUUAACAAAGUCUUCUCCAAUCCUACUUCCUUAGCUAAAUUGAAGACGACGGUUCCUAGUCAGAAAGGCACUACAGCACCGCCAGCUGGAUGGGGGUUUACUACUGUGCAAGGCAGCCUACAGACCAUUAGUAAAGGAGAGAGCUGUUUGAAAAUGUUACCCUGUCAAGACGAACAGCGACACGGCAUGUUGAGGACAUCGCAGAGAAUGUGGAACAACAGUUGAAAGACAAGUUUCCCAGUCUGACCGUUCUGCCUACCCUGACCCUGAGCCUGCCUGUCAUCCUGCACCUUGGCCCCACUACUCUGGAUCACCGAGUUCUGCCUGACCUGACCCUAAGCCCACCUGCUGUUACGGUGCCUUACACCCUCUCUGGAUUAUUGACCACUGUCUGCCUUAACCUGUCGUUUGCCUGCCCC
rnacentral:lncRNA from 1 species